AUGAAGAGAGUCUAUGCCUCAGGAGCCUGGCAGAGCUGCCCUGGUGCAGGAAAGGAGGACAAGAGGCCUCUGCCAGGGCUAGAUCAUGGCACUUGGUGUUGAGCCCAUCAUAGAGAACAGGGUGGGCCAUUUCUGUUCAGUAGGCACUCGGGGAUCUUCUCCAAGAAUGAGAACUCCCUUUCAUUGAACAUGUACUCAGGGUAAGUGUUACCAUUGAUCUUCACUGUCAACUUGGCUCGAUUCUGAGACUCUGAGGAGACACACCUCUGUUGGUACCCAUGAGGGUGUUUCCAGAGAGCUUUAACUCAACAGGGCUGAUGUUCAGCUUUAGCUGAACACGGGCGGUACCAGCACAUGGACUGGAAGUCUGGAUGGAAUAAAAAGAUUGGGCAAGCUGAGCACCACCAUCCAUCUUUGCUCUCCGACUACAGGGUGUGUUUCUGCCCAUGCCUUCCUCACUUGGAUGGACAGUGCCCUCAGACCAUGAGCAGAAAUAAACUCCGCUUGCCUUGAGCUGCGUUUGCAGUUGCUUUGCACAGGAACCAGAAAAGCACUAAUCCACAGAGGGCAGAUGGGCAACUGAGGAAAACCCCAAUGGCACCAGUGUGGAAGACCGCACAUGCAUGUGGGUAACACUUGAGCCUUGGCUGGGAAGCUGUGAGGGAGUGUUGCUCAGGUACUGGCUUGUGAAGACUGCCCUUUCCUAACCAAAAUACAACAACCUGUGCAAGCCCCACUGGACACGUGCAGCUUACCUACUGUAUAUGAGCAGGAGUGUGCCACAAUCCAGGCCAUUUCAUGAGACUCCUGGGAGCAACCUGCCCCAUCUUCUUGGCCAUUCUAAAGAUUCAUGGACCCAUUGUGAUCACAUGGCUGUACCACAGCGGCUUCCCAGAGGAAAUAAUUAAGAACUUGACAUCCUGAGAAUCAUUUUUCUCUUUUCCAGUGGGACCCAGCCAACAUGGCUGCCAUGCUGUCAGGACAUGGAGGUCUUUGGUCAGUGUAGUUGCCUAUGCCAAGGAGUGAUUCAGGUCUUCUCUCUUAGGAAGAUCUGAAUGGUGCUGAGGUUGGCCAACCCCUUGACGGGCUUUUCGGAGAAGUUUAAAGGAUUUAGGAAUUGAGUUGAGGACUCUUAAUGAAGCUGUUUCUUGUUACUUUGUUUUACUUGGCAACCGCUUAUCACACCCUGGAGCCACAGAUGAGCUCCACGCUGGACCACACUGCAGAACUGGCACAUCACCAAGCAGGCAAGAGUUGGCUGACCAGCCCAGAUUCUAAUGGAACCUAAGACAGGGGCCAGAGCAGAUGCCCGGGAGAAACUUUUAAAAUAAAGAACUAGACAUUUUCCGAGCCGGGCGGUGGU